UACGGGGGGGGCAAGCGUUGUUCGGAAUUACUGGGCGUAAAGCGUGCGCAGGCGGUUUUGUAAGACUGUCGUGAAAUCCCCGGGCUUAACCUGGGAAUGGCGAUGGUGACUGCAAGGCUAGAGUUUGGCAGAGGGGGGUAGAAUUCCACGUGUAGCAGUGAAAUGCGUAGAGAUGUGGAGGAACACCGAUGGCGAAGGCAGCCCCCUGGGUCAAAACUGACGCUCAUGCACGAAAGCGUGGGGAGCAAACAGG
rnacentral:rRNA from 1 species